rnacentral:rRNA from 1 species
UACGGAGGGGGCUAGCGUUGUUCGGAAUUACUGGGCGUAAAGCGUGCGCAGGCGGCUCCUUAAGUCAGAUGUGAAAUCCCCGGGCUUAACCUGGGAACUGCGUUUGAAACUGAGGGGCUAGAGUGUGGAAGAGGGGGGUGGAAUUCCAGGUGUAGCAGUGAAAUGCGUAGAGAUCUGGAGGAACACCGAUGGCGAAGGCAGCCCCCUGGGCUAACACUGACGCUCAUGCACGAAAGCGUGGGGAGCAAACAGG